rnacentral:rRNA from 1 species
UACGUAGGUGGCAAGCGUUGUUCGGAUUUAUUGGGCGUAAAGGGCAUGUAGGUGGUUGGAUAAGUGUGAAUUGAAAGACCGAAGCUUAACUUCGAGUUUGGUUUGCAAACUAUCCGACUAGAGUGCAGAAGGGGAAACUGGAAUUCCGCGUGUAGGGGUGAAAUCUGUAGAUAUGCGGAAGAAUACUUAUGGCGAAGGCAAGUUUCUGGUCUGUAACUGACGCUGAAAUGCGAAAGUGUGGGGAGCAAACAGG